ensembl:misc_RNA Metazoa_SRP Metazoan signal recognition particle RNA
GCCAGGCGUGAUGGCGCACGCCUGUAAUCCCAGCUACUUGGGAGGCUGAGGCGGGAGAAUCGCUUGAACUCGGGAGGCGGAGGUUGCAGUGAGCCGAGAUCGCGCCACUGCACUCCAGCCUGGGUUACAGAGUGAGACCCUGUCUCAA